rnacentral:lncRNA from 1 species
UCACAGUUUUACAACUACUAAAGAAAGAGAAAACAAAUUCAGUCCUAUCAAGAGCUAGAUAACCUGAGCACCUAACCAGCAUCAACCCACCCUACAGCCAACAAAGGCAAUUGGGCAGCUAACACCAGGUGCACAGGAAGCAAAAGCAGCGCAACUCAACGGCGCAGCUGUGCACAUCAUACAUAGUUCCAGGUUUCACAAUCGACAACGGAGUCUGAAAGAAACAAGUUCAGAUAGCGAUAAAAUCGACAUCCAGCAGACCAAGGACAUUCUGGACAGCAGAAGCUUCAUCGUCGUGUAGAAGAAGCAUCAUCCACCGCAGCAGAUCUCCUCAACCUUGGAUACAAGGCACACCAGAAGUCCACCCUUGCACUGCCUUGAACACUUCAUCUGCUGUUUGUUCUAGAACCUUUGCCACCCACUUCAGCUUUUCUUGGUUUUCCUGUGAUUUCUGCAAAAUAGUACAAUCACUCAGCAACCUUGCUAUCAUAUUAAUGGGUCGAUAAUUUUCUUAUUAUAAAAAAUGCUUCCAUUCCUAAUCCUCCAAAUAGCCCAGAGAACAACAGAAACACGAGCAAACAUUAAUUAGGUGUUUAUCAGUAGAGUGAAACUUUAUGUAUCCAGUUUCCAAGCAAAGCAUAAAUAUUGUCAGGUAUGUCUAGCAGAUUAAAAGCACAUUUAACUAACAGGCUUGCUAGAUUAAGUGUCCUUAUUAUCAGAAAAUUCUACAUCCUAAACAAUCCAAGCUCAUGGCAAAGAGGCAUGCAUAAUCAAUCAACUCACCUUGUGGGAUUUUUUUUUUUACUAAUCUGAACAUGCAUGAACAUGUGAUCCUGGAAAAUGAAUUAAUGAAAACCUCACCAAGAAAUUUUGGAUAAUGCUAAAGAAAAUUAGAGAUGCAGUAUAUGAAGUGAAGUUUAUACCUAUAAAUUUGGAUAAUUAAGAAAUAUGACUGUCUAUCAGAUGUGCUGCUCCAUCAGUAUAAUGUAGCAAAAAGAAGUUCUAAAAAUAAAGGGCCUAAGGAAAAGGUCCCCUCUUUCAUUGCAAUCUCAUAAAAAUCCUAAAAUUGCAGUGCCGUAUUAUAAUUAGGAUUGCCGAAACAAAAUGCAAUUACUCCCUGCAUCCCAAAAUGUAAGUCCUAUUUGUUUUGUCUCGAAGUCUGACCAAGUUUAUAGAAACAAAUAUCAAUAUCUAUAAUACUCCCUCCAUCCGGAAAUACUUGUCAUCAAAAUGAAUAAAAGAAGAUGUAUCUAGAUGUAUUUUAGUUUUAGAUACAUCCUUUUUUUGGUCCAUUUUGAUGACAAGUAUUUUCGGACGGAGGGAGUAGUAGAUAAAUACACUAUGAAAAUAUAUUUCAUGAUGUAUCUAUUUGUAUUGGUUUUGUUUUAUAGAUGUUAAAAUACUUUCUUCUACUCCCUCCGUUCGGAAUUACUUGUCUCGGAAAUGGAUGUAUAUAGAACUAAAAUACAUCUAGAUACAUCCAUUUCUACAACAAGUAAUUCCGAACCGAGGGAGUAUAAACUUAGUUGAACUUAAAAGCCUUGGCUUAAGGAAACUAAACAAGACUUACAUUUUACUCUGGGCGUAUAAAUCUAACCAAAUUGAAGACAGAGGAUGGGAAAAGGAGGGAGCUCAACAUUAGUCGAUACCUUGAAAAAUCAGUCAAUAAUGUUGACUCUGGGGAUUGAGUUAAUCCUUGCCCACGUAGGGCUUGUCCUAUCAUGUAGCUCCUCCAUAAGCGUGGGGUGGCAUCCUUUCA